rnacentral:lncRNA from 1 species
GCAAAAAGACAAAAAAAAAAAUUAUUUUGCAGUUUCUCUCUCCAGUUGUUUCACCCUUUUAAGCCAGUCCAGGAAUUGCUGCUGCUUUUCUUUGCACAAAACGGUCUUUUGGGCAUUUCCCAUGUCAUGGGGUUUAUUCAUUACAAACCUACAUGCAAGUUCACUAUGUUCAUUAUGAUGUUUCUUCCACUGCCAUCUCUGGACUGAGGCUGUGUGUUCCAUAGCCACUGAUGGCCUUCUACAACCCGACUCCCAGAGGCUGCUAUCCUGACUCUGCUUGGUUCCCACAACUAACUUUACUACUCCAAGAUCUCUCUAUUGCCCACAAUGGGAGGUACUAACAUGUUUCCUACAGAAAAAUCCCCUGCUUUUGACAGUGCUAGAGGAAAGGUAAUUACUCCCCCUGAAAGUACAUAUAUGUAUAGAUAUUAAUGAAACUAACCCAGUGACCUUACUUGAUCACUGAGUACUUCUUAAGUUCUGAUUUAAAGCUUCCCAAGAUAAUGAGGAGGCAGAAUCAAGAAAACGUUUCUUGCUUCAUCUCUGCUACUGUUUGAGACCAGACGAGUCUAUUUUCAUUUGUGUAUUAUUCAUUGCAUUGCAUGUUUAUUAAAUAUGCAAGAUCAUAUGGCGACAGUCUACCUAUCCCCUCAAGUAAUCCUAGAUAUAUCAGGACCUAUAGAGUUAACACAUAAAUAGUAAUCAUCACAGUGCCUGGAACCUAGCAUACACUCAAAGAGUACAUUAUUAUCCCUCAACUUUAGUGUAUAAAUCUAGUGAAAAUUAACUUUGGCUUUGUGAGAAACAAUUUCAAGUUUUUCUUAUGUGGUAUACAUCAGAGAACUGAUAGAAUAUAUAAUACAGACUUUCAAAUAAUUCCUUUCCCCUCCCAGAUUAUCAAGAAACUAGAAAUUGGAUCCUUAGAGUAGAUCUAUAUUAGAUAUAUUUCAACCAGAUUACUUCAUAUUUUCACCAUGGUACCUCAUGAUCUCUCCGGAAACCCUCUACAGAAGAAAGCAGAAGAAGGAGAUACUCAGGUGAAGGUGAAAGAACACACAGCCAUCUAUAAACUUCAGCAUAAAAGAGCUGAAUAACAACACCAGUGUCCAUCAUCGUACCUCCCUGAAGGUGGGUGUUUAUGAGAAAUGUCCAGAGGACAAAAGUAAGGCAUGAAUUGGACAACCCCCGUUGGUAACUUACAUCCUGAAACAAGAGAUUUGAUUACCCUUAUCAUUAUCUCUGCUUGCUGAGCAGAGCUCCCAAAGCUAUUAGUGGUCAUAAAAUUACCCAGCUGUUUUUUAAAUUCAACCAUAGUAUUUGACUCAGUGACCUCUUCGGUCAAUGAAUUUCACAGGUUGACUAUACACAUUUAUAAGGCAUUAUUUACUUCAAUUUGUUCUGAAUUUACUGCCCCUUAUUUUUAUCAAGUGUCUCCUUGUCCUCAUCUUAUUAUGAGACAAGGUUAAAAAAAAAAGGUGUCCUUUGUAAUUCUGAAUGCUUCAAUCAAUGACUUUUCUAAAAUACACCAGAUUUUAGAAUCUUUUAUUAGGAAAAUGAAAAAUCUAGCUGUAUUCCAUCUAGUCUCUAUUAAUAUUUUAUUCUCACCAUGAUUUUUUAUUACUUGGCUGUGAAUUCAAUGCCUGUUAUACCUCCUCAUUCUAUUUCUUUCAUGUUACUAACAGCACAAGAAUGACAAUCAUGAAUAUGUAUCUUUUUCCAAUAAGAAAAUUCAGGUUUGUAAUGAUCUGAAAUGAUUAAAAUCUAAUAUGAUUUUCUAUUAAUUGAAAUAUUUUUCUUGGUAAAGCAAAUAUAUUCCAAAUACUUAAAUUUCAAGCUAACUGAACCAGAGCUUCCAUAAGUUUCCUUCAAUAAGGUAUUUUUGACAUUAUCUCCUCUAGAAUAGAUUCAUUUGUGAGAUUGUUCUGCAGUGAUUUGGAUCCACCAAAAUUAGAGGAGUGGAUAAGCUGAUUAUCUAGUCAUGUGAUUCUAUUGCAGUUCAUCUGAAUAAAGGAUUUUGUAUUUUACCA